CGCUUUUUUCAUCGAGUUUGAGUGCUGUUGGGGCGAAUAAUCUCGGAGAUGAGUUAGUCUUACAUCUAAGGAGCAAAUAUGCCUUUUUGUUUUGUGCCUCAAUGCAGUCAUUCCAGCGCCAGGUCCCAGUCCAAGUGCUCCUUCUUCCGAUUGCCCCGGGACGAGGGGGAGUUGAAGAAAUGGACUACACUGAUGAGGAGACAAGAUGCAAAGCCCAAUGAGCAUUCAAGAGUGUGCUCUUGUCAUUUUAGGAAUGGCAAGAAAGAAGCUGGUCCAACCCUAUUUGCUUGGAAUGACUUCAAGAGAAGGUUAUCGGCCGUCGUCCAAACGGUGCGCGCGGGCCCUCAUCUUGUCCGACGGCGCGCCCACUUCGCGACUGGCUCCGACCUCGCUUGGCGUUGGUACAAGAGCUGCCGGGAGUCGCCCUGCGUCCUCGUCGGGGAGCCUAGAUUCCGGGCGGGCCGACUCCAACGUUUCCACACGAUAUCGCUUUGAUAGCCAGAACGGCCUACGACGUUCCACGGCGCACGCCCACCCGGAGCUGGCGGCCGCCCUGCCGUGACGGUCGCACGCCGCUGUACCUGGCCGUACUGCAGGGCUGGCGGCCGCCCUGCCGUGACGGUCGCACGCCGCUGCACCCGGCCGUACUGCAACCCACCCGGAGCUGGUGUCGCAGAUGCCAAGCUGCGAGAUGACGGGGGUUAUCGGCCGUCGUCCAAACGGUGCGCGCGGGCCCUCAUCUUGUCCGACGGCGCGCCCACUUCGCGACUGGCUCCGACCUCGCUUGGCGUUGGUACAAGAGCUGCCGGGAGUCGCCCUGCGUCCUCGGCGGGGAGCCGAGAUUCCGGGCGGGCCGACUCCAACGUUUCCACACGAUAUCGCUUUGAUAGCCAGGUUUCUUUCAAUGAUUAUUUCUGUAAUCGGUCACGAGGCGAAUCCUCGUUGAGCCUAAUUUGUUCUCCAGUCUGCCAAGUCUGGUUUGCUUUGUUGAUGACUUUGUGGUGUGAACGUGCCAAACCACAUGCUGUACUAUUAAAGGGUGUCAAAUAAAAAAAACGAGUUAUGCUUAACAGCUAUAUAAACUACGCCUGGAGUUUGCUCUGAUAUGAAUUGCAUUUUAUCAUUAUGACCUAACCAAAUAACUUGAGUGGUGUAGUUGGAAAGUACUUAACAUAAUACGUGGCCGCUGGCUUCGUUCCCCACGCUCGACGGCUCGCCGUUUUCAAUGUUCGUCUGCGCACUGUACAUCUGCAGCCCAGUAAUCAAUAAAUGGCACAGGUACUCGC